rnacentral:rRNA from 1 species
CCUACGGGGGGCAGCAGUGGGGGAUAUUGCACAAUGGGGGGAACCCUGAUGCAGCGACGCCGCGUGGGUGAAGAAGCGCCUCGGCGCGUAAAGCCCUAUCGGCAGGGAAGUAGAUGACGGUACCUGGCCAAGAAGCCCCGGCUAACUACGUGCCAGCAGCCGCGGUAAUACGUAGGGGGCAAGCGUUAUCCGGAUUUACUGGGUGUAAAGGGGGCGCAGACGGCGAUGCAAGCCAGGAGUGAAAGCCCGGGGCCCAACCCCGGGACUGCUCUUGGAACUGCAUGGCUGGAGUACAGGAGGGGCAGGCGGAAUUCCUGGUGUAGCGGUGAAAUGCGUAGAUAUUAGGAGGAACACCGGUGGCGAAGGCGGCCUGCUGGACUGCGACUGACGUUGAGGCCCGAAGGCGUGGGGAGCAAACAGGAUUAGAUACCCGAGUAGUC